rnacentral:rRNA from 1 species
UGGGGAAUUUUGGACAAUGGGCGAAAGCCUGAUCCAGCAAUGCCGCGUGUGUGAAGAAGGCCUUCGGGUUGUAAAGCACUUUUGUCCGGAAAGAAAUCCUUGGCUCUAAUACAGUCGGGGGAUGACGGUACCGGAAGAAUAAGCACCGGCUAACUACGUGCCAGCAGCCGCGGUAAUACGUAGGGUGCAAGCGUUAAUCGGAAUUACUGGGCGUAAAGCGCACGCAGGCGGUUUGUUAAGUCAGAUGUGAAAUCCCCGGGCUCAACCUGGGAACUGCAUUUGAAACUGGCAAGCUAGAGUCUCGUAGAGGGGGGUAGAAUUCCAGGUGUAGCGGUGAAAUGCGUAGAGAUCUGGAGGAAUACCGGUGGCGAAGGCGGCCCCCUGGACGAAGACUGACGCUCAGGUGCGAAAGCGUGGGGAGCAAACAGGAUUAGAUACCCUGGUAGUCCACGCUGUAAACGAUGUCAACUAGUUGUUGGGGAUUCAUUUCCUUAGUAACGUAGCUAACGCGUGAAGUUGACCGCCUGGGGGAGUACGGUCGCAAGAUUAAAACUCAAA